AUCAGGUAGUAACAGAGAGUUUGAUUCUGGCUCAGAUUGAACGCUAUGAUGUUACGACAUGCAAGUCGCACGGCAGCACUGACUUCGGUCUGGUGGCGAGUGGCGAACGGGUGAGUAAUGUAUCGGAACGUGCCUAGUAGUGGGGGAUAACGCCGCGAAAGGGGGUAGCCAAUACCGCAUACGCCCUCUUCGGGGGAAAGCGGGGGACCUUCGGGCCUCGCACUAGAUGGGCUGAUAUCGGAUUAGCUAGUUGGUGGGGUAACGGCUCACCAUGAUCCGUAGCUGGUUUGAGAGGACGAUCAGCCACACUGGGACUGGAGACAGCCCGAUCACAGAGGCAGCAGUGGGGAAUUUUGGACAAUGGGGGAAACCCUGAUCCAGCCAUCCUGCGUGUGCGAUGAAGGCCUUCGGGUUGUAAAGCACUUUUGGCAGGAAAGAAAACGGCACGGGAUAAUACCCUGUGUAAACUGACGGUACCUGCAGAAUAAGCACCGGCUGACCUACGCCAGCAGCCGCGGUAAUACGUAGGGUGCAAGCGUUAAUCGGAAUUACUGGGCGUAAAGCGUGCGCAGGCGGUUCGGAAAGAAAGAUGUGAAAUCCCAGAGCUUAACUUUGAACUGCAUUUUAACUACCGAGCUAUGUGUCAGAGGGAGUGUGGAAUCGCAGUAGCAGUGAAAUGCGAUAUGGAGGAACACCGAUGGCGAAGGCCUCCCGGGAUAACACUGACGCUCAUGCACGGCGCGGUGGGGAGCAAAUAGGAUUAGAUACCCGGUAGUCCACGCCCUAAAACGAUGUCAACUAGCUGUUGGGGCCUUCGGGCCUUGGUAAAUGCAGCUAACGGGUGUAGUUGACCGCCUGGGGAGUACGGUCGCAAGAUUAAAACCAAAGAAUUGACGGGACCAGCACAAGCGCGGUGGAUGAUGUGGACACCCGAUGCAACGCGAAAAACCUUACCUACCCUUGACAUGUCUGAAUCCCGGGGAGAUUUUGGGAGUGCUCAAAGAGAACUCGAACACAGGUGCUGCAUGGCUGUCGUCAGCUCGUGUCGUGAGAUGUUGGGUUAAGUCCCGCAACGAGCACAACCUUGUUGCUGCUGUUACGAAAGGGCACUCUAAUGAGACUGCCGGUGACAAACCGGAGGAAGGUGGGGAUGACGUCAAGUCCUCAUGGCCCUUAUGGGUAGGCUUCACACGUCAUACAAUGGUCGGGACAGAGGGUCGCCAACCCGCGAGGGGGAGCCAAUCCCAGAAACCCGAUCGUAGUCCGGAUCGCAACGUAACCGACUGCGUGAAGUCGGAAUCGCUAGUAAUCGCGGAUCAGCAUGUCGCAGGUGAAUACGUUCCCGGGUCUUGUACACACCGCCCGUCACACCAUGGGAGUGGGUUUUACCAGAAGUAGUUAGUCAACCGUAAGGAGGGCGACACUUGUAGGAUUCAUGACUGGGGUGGAACAAUAGCGUA
rnacentral:rRNA from 1 species